UAUUAUAUCAGAGUAUCAGACUCCUACUUACUACUAUAUCGGACUCCUACUUCUCUUACUUAUUAUAUCAGAGUCUUUUUUAGUAUCCUACUUAUUAUAUCGGAGUCUUACUUAUUAUAUCGGACUCCUACUUAGGACUAGUAUAUUGGACUCUUACACUAGUGUGUUGAAUAGCACACUACUUUUCACUACUAAAUUUUAGUGUGUGUGUUCACUGAUGUGUGUGUUCACUGACACUCGAUUGUGUGUAAUAGUGUGUAAUAGAACACUCAACUGCACAGUGUGUAACAGUUUAAGUACAAGGUGCUAAUGUUAAAGAAUUUUACUCAAUGACAUUGCUCUAAAAUCUCAUUGGUUAGUUUGUAGUUUUCUCACUUCACUGCCACAUGUUUCUCUUUGAAACUCAAGAGAACCAGCUUGGAGAAGUUGGAGCUAGCUGAAGCAACAACUUGAUCUAGUCUAGAUAUAAUAUAAUGAUAUAAUAGUAUCUAUCUACCAGUUCUCCAAGGUCUUUUGGUCAAAGAGAGAUCAAUCCAGCACCCAAAGAGGCGAGGACACGAGUGUAUCAAAGCAAGACAGCUGUACAUAUAGCCAUAUAGCCAGGAGUACUCAGUCCUGAUAAUAGCAGCCAUUUGUUAUACACUAUAGAGGUAUAUCUUUUUACACAGGGAGCUUGUCUACAUGUCUAUGCCAUGCCAGUGAAUAAGAACCAAGAACAAUGUCAAUUCUUGAUGCUGAAGAAUGUGGAGACAAACAUGAAGAGCCCAUGACAAGCAUGGUAUCCGUCAGACUGCUCAGUGUGACCAAAUGGAAAAUCUAAGUGCGAUCAAACCGUACCUUUGGGUUACUACCAUCACUGGUAAUCAUGAAGCCUCUCUUGCACUCCUUGCGAACAGUACGACCUCUCUAUCGUCACGGUGGUACCGCAUUCUUCUCCGCAUGUCCAGAUGCAUAAUUAUGCUCGGCACCUCACUAUUCUGCUCAGCAGAUUUAGCCCCAGAAAACGAGUUGAAGCCGCUGAUGUUCACCAGUCUCUCUCUAGUAAAAUGACAUUCUGAAGAAUGUUCAUGUUACUGGGGUCGAUAGAGUGGCUGUUUCAAGUGUCAAAGAACGAAAAAAGCCCUUGAGAAAGCCCAGUUUUAUCGGGAUCUUGCCGAACGUAUACAAACUGAGAAGCGUAAAAGAGUGUAUGAACUAAAUGACAAGAUUGAAUUGGUUCGGAACUUUUGGCGUAACAAAGUAUGCAAAGGUUCCUCAAGAGCAGAUUGUACAGAAAGCCUUAUUGAAGAAUUGAAGAAUAGGUUCCGUACUAUAAUUAUAAUUGUUAUGUUCAUUCGUGAUAUCAAAUCAUAAAUUAUAAUAGUGUGCAUUAACAAGAAAUGUGCAUUAACAAGAAAGGACAAAGUACAUGAAAUUACGUAUAACACCUAAUAGCGUGCAUUAACAAGAAUGCUAUGAAUUAUUGGACAUAUAUAUAAGGUACAUUUAAUUUCAUAAUUAUUAUCUAUAAAAGGGGUGAAAUUAUUAAAACAGAGUCUUCUCCUAUCCUUCUACCAAAGUUGACCUUUUGCUUAGAAUAAGCCUUGAGAUGAUCUAUCGGUAUGAAACAGACAUCUGGACAAG